rnacentral:lncRNA from 1 species
ACUUCACGUGACAAGCCAUGGAGAGUAGGUCACUCCACCACUAGAGAAUUGGGUAUCGCCCAAUCUAACUCCAUGGUCUCGAACACCUUCGGAGAAUUAGGCUUUCCCUAAUCUAACCCCGAGAUGGCCCAUGCUUUAGUCUAGAUGCCACACAAACAAGCAACAAGCGUGAGGGAGCUCCACCUCUAACCUCCACGCACAUCUAGACUCAAAGCAUAACAAUCACUCGCCCUAGUCUAGACAAACACACACACACAAACACUACUUAGCAUGAGGGAGCUUAACCUCAAACCUCAAUGCACCUAAGUCUAGACUAAAACUAAUAACUAAGCGAGUGACAACUAAAAAAACAAACAAUCAAUCACACAACAUGUAUGCGAGCAGCACACACUUUCCCCG